ACCAUCCAAAAGCCAAGUUGUGGGUGCGUUCAACAGGGUGACAAAUCUCUUAUAUAGAGAUAGACGAAGCAGCACGGUGACAAUACAAAGAGAAAGAGAGUGGUGUGUGCAACAGCCUUCAUUUUACCACAUGAAGAUGGUUCUUCUGCUCGUUGUACUGGAGAUCAUUCUGCUCGUUACGAUGCCGUUUGGAGGGCUGGCAGGUCCGAGUGCGAGACAGAUAAACGAGAGUGACAACCCCAGGUGUCCCGCUUGCCGCAGUCCUCCUUGUCAUUGUUGAAAGUAUAUGGGGUUUUGUCCCAUUUAAUUUUUCAUUCCUCAAAAGUCAUGUAGACGCAUUACAGCUGGUUGCCUGGCAUCAGCAAAUUGUAGUCUCGCACAUGUACUAGAGUGGAGGAGGAAUGAGACCAUUGUAAUAAGGGACUCUCUCUCUCUCUCUCUCUCUCUCUCUCUCUCUCUCUCUCUCUCUCUCUCUCUCUCUCUCUCGUCGUUAGAGCAUGAUAAGAGGACUAGUACAGGCGCACCUUCUCCGCCGCCACACCGCACUACUCGCCUACAUCUUCGAUUCCUGGCGACUUAUUCAAACCUAUAAUAAGAAUGCUCCUCGGUGUGAUAGCAAUAUUGUUAGCCACCCAGGAGCAUGUGCUUCAUCAUUUUCCAAUUUGCAUCCUUUAUGUCAUUGUUAGGUUUUUGUGCUGUGUAACGACUACAUGCCUGGCAAUUUGAUACAUCAUUACGUUGUGCA